UACGUAGGGUGCGAGCGUUAAUCGGAAUUACUGGGCGUAAAGUGUGCGCAGGCGGCCGCGCAAGUCGAGUGUGAAAGCCCCGAGCUUAACUUGGGAAUUGCGCUCGAAACUACGUGGCUGGAGUGUGGCAGAGGAAGGUGGAAUUCCACGUGUAGCAGUGAAAUGCGUAGAGAUCAUGAGGAAGACCAGUGGCGAAGGCGGGUCUCUGGACAGUUCCUGACACUGAGGCACGAAGGCCAGGGGAGCAAACGGG
rnacentral:rRNA from 1 species